rnacentral:rRNA from 1 species
GUAGGUGGCAAGCGUUGUCCGGAAUUAUUGGGCGUAAAGCGCGCGCAGGCGGUUCUUUAAGUCUGAUGUGAAAGCCCACGGCUCAACCGUGGAGGGUCAUUGGAAACUGGAGAACUUGAGUACAGAAGAGGAAAGCGGAAUUCCACGUGUAGCGGUGAAAUGCGUAGAGAUGUGGAGGAACACCAGUGGCGAAGGCGGCUUUCUGGUCUGUAACUGACGCUGAGGCGCGAAAGCGUGGGGGAGCAAACAGGAUUAGAUACCCUGGUAGUCCACGCCGUAAACGAUGAGUGCUAAGUGUUAGGGGGUUUCCGCCCCCUUAGUGCUGCAGCUAACGCAUUAAGCACUCCCGCCUGGGAGUACGGCCGCAAGGCUG